UACGAGGAUGCGAGCGUUAUCCGGAUUUAUUGGGUUUAAAGGGUGCGUAGGCGGCUUUUUAAGUCAGCGGUGAAAUUUUGCAGCUUAACUGUAACAGUGCCGUUGAUACUGGGGAGCUAGGAUUUGGUUGCUGUGGGUGGAAUGUGUGGUGUAGCGGUGAAAUGCGCAGAUAUCAGGAGGAACACCGAUGGCGAAGGCAGGUCUCUGGGCCACUACUGACGCUGAGAAGCGAAAGCAUGGGGAGCGAACAGGAUUAGA
rnacentral:rRNA from 1 species